GAUGAACGCUGGCUACAGGCUUAACACAUGCAAGUCGAGGGGCAGCAUGCCGGUUGCUUGCAACCGGUGAUGGCGACCGGCGCACGGGUGAGUAACGCGUAUCCAACCUUCCCGCGACCAAGGGAUAACCUGCCGAAAGGCAGACUAAUACCUUAUGUCCUCCUUUGAAGGCAUCUGACGAGGAGCAAAGAUCCGUCGGUCACGGAUGGGGAUGCGUCCGAUUAGCUUGUUGGCGGGGCAACGGCCCACCAAGGCUUCGAUCGGUAGGGGUUCUUAGAGGAAGGCCCCCCACACUGGAACUGAGACACGGUCCAGACUCCUACGGGAGGCAGCAGUGAGGAAUAUUGGUCAAUGGGCGGAAGCCUGAACCAGCCAAGUAGCGUGCAGGAUGACGGCCUUACGGGUUGUAAAAUGCUUUUAU
rnacentral:rRNA from 1 species